rnacentral:rRNA from 1 species
CUACGGGAGGCUCCAGUGAGGAAUAUUGCACAAUGGGGGGAACCCUGAUGCAGCAACGCCGCGUGGAGGAUGACGCAUUUCGGUGUGUAAACUCCUUUUAUAUGUCAAGAAAAUGACGGUAGCAUAUGAAUAAGCACCGGCUAACUCCGUGCCAGCAGCCGCGGUAAUACGGAGGGUGCAAGCGUUACUCGGAAUCACUGGGCGUAAAGGACGCGUAGGCGGGUUGGAAAGUCAGGUGUGAAAUCCUACAGCUUAACUGUAGAACUGCACUUGAAACUUCUAAUCUAGAGUAUGGGAGGGGGAGAUGGAAUUAGUGGUGUAGGGGUAAAAUCCGUAGAUAUCACUAGGAAUACCUAAAGCGAAGGCGAUCUCCUGGAACAUUACUGACGCUAAGGCGUGAAAGCGUGGGGAGCAAACAGGAUUAGAUACCCGCGUAGUC